rnacentral:misc_RNA from 1 species
AACGCACAUUGCGCCUCCUGGUAUUCCGGGAGGCAUGCCUGUUCGAGCGUCAUUAAAAUCACUCAAGCUUAGGUUUACCUAUUGCUUGGUCUUGGAGAUGGAAGCCAAUUCAUUGGAAUCCUCUUCGAAAUCCAAUGGCGAAGACCCUUGCUCUCCCAAGUGUAGUAAUAACUUAUGUCACUGAAGGAAGCGAGAAAUCUUCUGCCGUAACCCCCAUAUUUUCUAUGAUUGACCUCGGAUCAGGUAGGGAUACCCGCUGAACUUAA